UACUGGCAGGAUCAACCAGGUAGCAUUCCUUCGCGACAUCGAUGCCCGCAUGAGGCCCGACAAGCCGUGCGGCCGUUGGACGCUCAAGACGGGAGCGACAGUCGUUCGCGUCGAUGGACAAAAUGCAUUGCUUGGGCAAACGAAGGCCGAUAGACCCCGCACCCGCACAUAACAUUCUGCAUCCGAGAGUACGGGCAGAGCACCUCAUGGGCCAAGGCAACCACGCAAGUGGGCGAGGCAUGCCAGGAACACAAGGCUCGCCUUGCGUCCACCCCACCACCCGUGAGGGCA
rnacentral:misc_RNA from 1 species